UUUUACAAAUUCCCGCCAAGCCAUAGUCACGUGAUCGUCAACAAGAACGAUCACGUGACUAUGGCUUGGCGGGAAUUUGUAAAAUAUC